rnacentral:rRNA from 1 species
AGAGUUUGAUCCUGGCUCAGGAUGAACGCUAGCUACAGGCUUAACACAUGCAAGUCGAGGGGCAGCAUCAUCAAAGCUUGCUUUGAUGGAUGGCGACCGGCGCACGGGUGAGUAACACGUAUCCAACCUGCCGACAACACUGGGAUAGCCUUUCGAAAGAAAGAUUAAUACCGGAUGGUAUAGUUUUCCCGCAUGGGAUGAUUAUUAAAGAAUUUCGGUUGUCGAUGGGGAUGCGUUCCAUUAGGCAGUUGGCGGGGUAACGGCCCACCAAACCUACGAUGGAUAGGGGUUCUGAGAGGAAGGUCCCCCACAUUGGAACUGAGACACGGUCCAAACUCCUACGGGAGGCAGCAGUGAGGAAUAUUGGUCAAUGGACGAGAGUCUGAACCAGCCAAGUAGCGUGAAGGAUGACUGCCCUAUGGGUUGUAAACUUCUUUUAUACGGGAAUAAAGUGAGCCACGUGUGGCUUUUUGUAUGUACCGUAUGAAUAAGGAUCGGCUAACUCCGUGCCAGCAGCCGCGGUAAUACGGAGGAUCCGAGCGUUAUCCGGAUUUAUUGGGUUUAAAGGGAGCGUAGGCGGGUUGUUAAGUCAGUUGUGAAAGUUUGCGGCUCAACCGUAAAAUUGCAGUUGAUACUGGCGACCUUGAGUGCAACAGAGGUAGGCGGAAUUCGUGGUGUAGCGGUGAAAUGCUUAGAUAUCACGAAGAACUCCGAUUGCGAAGGCAGCUUACUGGAUUGUAACUGACGCUGAUGCUCGAAAGUGUGGGUAUCAAACAGGAUUAGAUACCCUGGUAGUCCACACAGUAAACGAUGAAUACUCGCUGUUGGCGAUAUACAGUCAGCGGCCAAGCGAAAGCAUUAAGUAUUCCACCUGGGGAGUACGCCGGCAACGGUGAAACUCAAAGGAAUUGACGGGGGCCCG